UCUUCUAGUCUACCACAAAUUU
rnacentral:snRNA from 1 species